rnacentral:rRNA from 1 species
CCUACGGGUGGCAGCAGUGAGGAAUAUUGGUCAAUGGCCGUAAGGCUGAACCAGCCAAGUCGCGUGAAGGAAGAAGGAUCUAUGGGGUGUAAACUGCUUUUAUAGGGGAAUAAAGGUAGCCACGUGUGGAUAUUUGCAUGUACCCUAUGAAUAAGCAUCGGCUAACUCCGUGCCAGCAGCCGCGGUAAUACGGAGGAUGCGAGCGUUAUCCGGAUUUAUUGGGGUUAAAGGGUGCGUAGGUUGUUUUUUAAGUCAGCGGUGAAAGUUUGUGGCGCAACCCUAAAAUUGCCGUUGAAACGGGCAGUCUUGAGUGUGUUUGAGGUAGGCGGAAUGCGUGGUGUAGCGGUGCAAUGCAUA